rnacentral:rRNA from 1 species
GGGAUGUUGGGACUUCCCCCCCCCGGGGGGAACACAGUGGGGAAUUUUGGACAAUGGGCGAAAGCCUGAUCCAGCAAUGCCGCGUGUGUGAAGAAGGCCUUCGGGUUGUAAAGCACUUUUGUCCGGAAAGAAAUGGCUCUGGUUAAUACCUGGGGUCGAUGACGGUACCGGAAGAAUAAGGACCGGCUAACUACGUGCCAGCAGCCGCGGUAAUACGUAGGGUCCAAGCGUUAAUCGGAAUUACUGGGCGUAAAGCGUGCGCAGGCGGUUGUGCAAGACCGAUGUGAAAUCCCCGAGCUUAACUUGGGAAUUGCAUUGGUGACUGCACGGCUAGAGUGUGUCAGAGGGGGGUAGAAUUCCACGUGUAGCAGUGAAAUGCGUAGAGAUGUGGAGGAAUACCGAUGGCGAAGGCAGCCCCCUGGGAUAACACUGACGCUCAUGCACGAAAGCGUGGGGAGCAAACAGGAUUAGAUACCCUGGUAGUCCACGCCCUAAACGAUGUCAACUAGUUGUUGGGGAUUCAUUUCCUUAGUAACGUAGCUAACGCGUGAAGUGACCGCCUGGGAGUAGUUCCCAAG